rnacentral:rRNA from 1 species
CGAAGGAAGUAGCAAUACUUAGUGGCAGACGGGUGAGUAACAUGUGGGUAUCUACCCUUUGGCCUGGAAUAACACGAGGAAACUUGUGCUAAUACCGGAUAAGUCUUUACGGAGAAAGCUUUAUGCACCAUUGGAUGAGCCCGCACUUGAUUAGUUUGUUGGUAGGGUAAUGGCCUACCAAGACUGUGAUCAAUAGCUGAUUUGAGAGGAUGAUCAGCCACAUUGGGACUGAGACACGGCCCAAACUCCUACGGGAGGCAGCAGUGGGGAAUCUUGCACAAUGGAGGAAACUCUGAUGCAGCGAUGCCGCGUGAGUGAAGAAGGCCCUUGGGUUGUAAAGCUCUUUCGUCGGGGAAGAAAAUGACUGUACCCGAAUAAGAAGGUCCGGCUAA